rnacentral:tRNA from 1 species
UGCUGCCGUAGCUCAGGGGUAGAGCACUCCCUUGGUAAGGGAGAGGUCGAGAGUUCAAAUCUCUCCGGCAGCACCAU